rnacentral:rRNA from 1 species
CCUACGGGAGGCAGCAGUGAGGAAUAUUGGUCAAUGGGCGGGAGCCUGAACCAGCCAAGUCGCGUGAAGGAAGAAGGUACUUAGUAUUGUAAACUUCUUUUGUCGGGGAACAAAGGCGGAGACGCGUCUCCGGAUGAGUGUACCCGAAGAAAAAGCAUCGGCUAACUCCGUGCCAGCAGCCGCGGUAAUACGGAGGGUGCGAGCGUUAAUCGGAAUUACUGGGCGUAAAGCGCUCGUAGGCGGUAUGUCAAGUCAAGGGUGAAAUCCCCGCGCUCAACGUGGGAACUGCCUUUGAAACUGGCAAACUGGAGUGUGUGAGAGGAUAGUGGAAUUCCAGGUGUAGGAGUGAAAUCCGUAGAUAUCUGGAGGAACAUCAGUGGCGAAGGCGACUAUCUGGCACAUAACUGACGCUGAGGAGCGAAAGCGUGGGUAGCAAACAGGAUUAGAUACCCUUGUAGUC